UUAAGAGAAAACAUAUCUUAAUUAGGGGAAGGAAGAUACCGUGUCUUGAGACACAUGUUGUGUUAUGGGUGUUCAGAAGCAAACCCGUGUCUCUCUCCUUUCUUCGAUUUCGUUGAAAUCACAGCAACUCUCCGACGGCGAUUUCUUCAUCUCUCAACGAUCUGAUGAUGGAUUCAGCGUCUCUCUCGUCGGACUCGUCGUCUCUGUCGGACUCUCGUCUGUCUCGUCGGACUCGCGUCUGUACCGAUCAAGUGACAUGAAGCUCUUUCGAAGAAGAGAACUACGUCGGACUCGUCGUAUUGACUUGUUUCUUUGAUUUCGGAUGUCUUUUGUGGAAUAUAUCAUUCUUCUUGGUUAGCAUUAUUCACUUGUUAUUGACACGAGUCCUCAAUCUUGGUUGUUACUUGUUACUUGACUGUUUUGCUGUAGAACUACACUGGUGACAAGGCAAUUGGGAAAGUGUGAGAAGUACUUCCUAGAGCUAAUGAAGGUGCCACGAGUAGAAUCGAAGAUGAGAGUGUUUUCCUUCAAGAUUCAAUUCGGCACUCAGAUAAUAGAAUUCAAAAAAUGCCGUAAAUUCCGCGUGUGAUGAGGUUCGUACUUCACAAAAGCUAAAAGAAAUUAUGAAAAAAGAUUCUUUACCUGGGGAACACAUUGAACCAAGGAACUGCGAGGGGCGCUGCAGUGGGAUUCAAGUUGGACAGUUUAUUAAAACUAAGCGAUACACGUGCUGCUAACAGCAAGAUGACUCUCAUGCACUAUCUUUGCAAGGUCCUUGCUUCCAAGGGAUCAGAUCUACUGGACUUCCAUAAGGAUCUUGGAAGUCUUGAAUCAGCUUCAAAGAUACAAUUGAAGUCGCUGGCGGAGGAAAUGUAAGUUGUCAACCUUUACUAGACCCCAAUCUAUUACAUUUGAAAAUAUGUUUGAUCUUGAAAUGUAUGUUAAUGUCUUUCUAAUAAUCAAUAAAUUUGAAGUUUAAUAACAAAAUGUUUAAGAUUUUUUUUUAAGAACCAUUAAAUAAGAAACUUGCAUUGGACCACACAAAUAUACCAUCUCUUAACUAAAUCUCUAAAACUCACUUUUCCAACUAAAAAUUAUUAAAAAAAAGAUUAAGAACCCCUAAAUGAAUAUGUGGGAUAAUGUUGCUCUUACAUACUCCUUCAAGAAACAUUGAUUUAUUCUCAAGAGAUUACAAAGAGAGUGACA